rnacentral:misc_RNA from 1 species
GUAGGUGAACCUGCGGAAGGAUCAUUAUUGAAAUAAAUCUGGCGGGUUGCUGCUGGUUCUCUAGGGAGCAUGUGCACACUUGUCAUCUUUAUAUCUCCACCUGUGCACCUUUUGUAGACCUGGAUCUCUCUCUGAAUGCUAGCCAUUCAGGAUUGAGGAUUGACUUCAUGUCUCUCCUUCCAUUUCCAGGCCUAUGUUUCUUCAUAUACUCUAAUGUAUGUUAUAGAAUGUAAUCAAUGGCCUUUGUGCCUAUAAACCUAUACAACUUUCAGCAACGGAUCUCUUGGCUCUC